ACACACACACACUCACACACACACACACACACACUCACACACACCACACGUGCCCCCCCGGUGGUCUUCCUUCAGCACGGCCUGUUGGCCGCGGGCAGCAACUGGAUCACCAACCCCCCCGACACCAGCCUGGGCUUCGUGCUCGCCGACGCCGGC